GAGCCAGACUCCUACGGGAGGCAGCAGUGGGGAAUAUUGGGCAAUGGGCGCAAGCCUGACCCAGCAAAGCCGCGUGAAGGAAGAAGGCUUUCGGGUUGUAAACUUCUUUUCUCAGGGACGAAGAAAGUGACGGUACCUGAGGAAUAAGCCACGGCUAACUACGUGCCAGCAGCCGCGGUAAUACGUAGGUGGAAAGCGUUAUCCGGAUUUAUUGGGUGUAAAGGGCGUGUAGGCGGGAGCGCAAGUCAGAUGUGAAAGCUCAGGGCUCAACCCUGAGCCUGCAUUUGAAACUGUGUUGCUUGAGUGCUGGAGAGGCAAGCGGAAUUCCGGGUGUAGCGGUGAAAUGCGUAGAUAUACGGAGGAACACCAGUGGCGAAGGCGGAUUGCUGGACAGUAACUGACGCUGAGGCGCGAAAGCGUGGGGAGCAAACAGGAUUAGAUACCCCAGUA
rnacentral:rRNA from 1 species